rnacentral:rRNA from 1 species
CGUACACAAAAGCGCAUGUGCUGUGAGCUCGAUGAGUAGGGCGGGACACGUGGUAUCCUGUCUGAAUAUGGGGGGACCAUCCUCCAAGGCUAAAUACUCCUGACUGACCGAUAGUGAACCAGUACCGUGAGGGAAAGGCGAAAAGAACCCCGGCGAGGGGAGUGAAAAAGAACCUGAAACCGUGUACGUACAAGCAGUGGGAGCCCCACCACCAAAGCAUUCUCUGGUGUUGAAGGCCCUGCAAAGCAGCAUCGCGGUGGCGGAGCGUCGUUUGCGACGCCCAACACACAAAACAAGCGGUGAGUGCUUUGGGGUGGGGUGACUGCGUACCUUUUGUA